rnacentral:snRNA from 1 species
AGAUGUGAAGGUGAUCUGGCUGUGACAUCUGUCACCCCACCGAUCGCCAGGGUUGAUUCAACUGAUCUGGCUGGGUAAGGCAGGUGUCCGCUUCCCCUCACCCCACUCCAUGUGCAUCCCUCCCGGAGCUGCAUGCUCGGUUGAAAGGGCGACCUUCCCCAAUAGAGGAGGACCGUUCUUUGGUCAAGGGUAUACAAGUAGCACACUCCUGCUAGAACCUCCAAACAAGCUCUCAGGGUAUUUGAGAAUUAUCAAAAUAUAUUAUUAAAGAAAACCCUGAGUUGAUUACACAAUAUCA